AGUGAACGCUGGCGGUAGGCCUAACACAUGCAAGUCGAACGGCAGCACAGUAAGAGCUUGCUCUUACGGGUGGCGAGUGGCGGACGGGUGAGGAAUACAUCGGAAUCUACUUUUUCGUGGGGGCUAACGUAGGGAAACUUACGCUAAUACCGCAUACGACCUACGGGUGAAAGCAGGGGAUCUUCUGACCUUGCGCGAUUGAAUGAGCCGAUGUCGGAUUAGCUAGUUGGCGGGGUAAAGGCCCACCAAGGCGACGAUCCGUAGCUGGUCUGAGAGGAUGAUCAGCCACACUGGAAAUGAGACACGGUCCAGAAUCCGAAGGGAGGCAGCAGUGGGGAAUAUUGGACAAGGGGCGGAAGCCUGAUCCAGCCAUACCGCGUGGGUGAAGAAGGCCUUCGGGUUGUAAAGCCCUUUUGUUGGGAAAGAAAAGCAGCAGGUUAAUACCGCGCUGUUCUGACGGUACCCAAAGAAUAAGCACCGGCUAACUUCGU
rnacentral:rRNA from 1 species